rnacentral:rRNA from 1 species
AGCAGCCGCGGUAAUUCCAGCUCCAAUAGCGUAUAUUAAAGUUGCUGCAGUUAAAAAGCUCGUAGUUGAAUUUCGGGAUCAAUUUACUGGUCGUGCCUAUGGUACGUACUGGUUUUGUUGGUUCCUCCUUUCUGAGGAGCCGCGAUGUCAUUAACUUGGUGUCGCGGGGAAUCAGGACUGUUACUUUGAAAAAUUAGAGUGUUUAAAGCAGGCUAACGCUUGAAUACAUUAGCAUGGAAUAAUGAAAUAGGACGUUUGAUCCUAUUUUGUUGGUUUCUAGGGUCGACGUAAUGAUUAAUAGGGAUAGUUGGGGGCAUUAGU